UCUGGAAAACCCACUUUCUUCGAAAUAGAAGCCUGCCACAUGGCACAGUCCCUGCGUAUACCUGGGACACUCUUUCAAUACUUUCUACAACUUCUGAUAUCUGAAUCUCUUCUCAUCUGCUCUGGAUCGGAAGGCUUCAAUGGAGCUAUAUGAUUCUUGUUGCCGUAUGCUAUGUACUGCUCUAAAGCAUCGUAAAAGCGAGACUCGUCAGUGCAUAGCUCUUCUUCAAGAUUCAGUAACUGUACUUCUUCAUUGCGUAGAGACGGUAAAUACCAAGCAUGCUCCUGGGAGAGAGAUCUUCGAAUGGGAAAUUCAAGUAUGCGCGGGAAGUCUGCGAAGAAUAUAUGAAGAAGAGGUGUGCCUUCUCACCUCAAGCCUGUCAUUUGACAGUUAGUUAUGAAAUAUUUGUCACUGCUGAUAUAUAUCAUGUGAACUUAUUGUCUACUUGUUUCUUCGUCUCGUAAAGUUUUCCAUAUGUUGUUAUCAGCAUCUGCUUACAAGUUCUUAAUGUUUUAUUUUUAUC